GAUGAACGCUGGCGGCGUGCCUAAUACAUGCCAGUCGAGCGAACAGACGAGGAGCUUGCUCCUCUCACGUUAGCGGCGGACGGGUGAGUAACACGUGGAUAACCUCCCUAUAAUACUGGGAUCACUUCGGGAAACCGGCGCUAAUACCGGAUAAUAUAUUGAACCGCAGUGUUCGAUGGUGAAAUACGGUUUUUCUGUCACUUAUAGCUGGAUCCGCGCGGCAUUAGAUAGUUGGUAAGGUAACGGCUUACCAAGGCUACGAGGCGUAGCCGACCUCAGAGAGGGAUCGGCCACACUGGAGGUGAGACGCGGUCCAGACGCCUACGGGAGGCAGCAGUAGGGAAUCGUCCGCAGUGGGCGAAAGCCUGACGGAGCAGCGCCGCGUGAGUGAUGAAGGUCUUCGGAUCGUAAAACUCUGUUAUUAGGGAAGAACAAAUGUGUAAGUAACUAUGCACGUCUUGACGGUACCGAAUCAGAAAGCCACGGCUAACUACGUG
rnacentral:rRNA from 1 species